GACGAACGCUGGCGGCGUGCUUAACACAUGCAAGUCGAACGGAAAGGCCCUGCUUGCAGGGUACUCGAGUGGCGAACGGGUGAGUAACACGUGGGUGAUCUGCCCUGCACUUCGGGAUAAGCCUGGGAAACUGGGUCUAAUACCGGAUAGGAGCCAUUUUUAGUGUGAUGGUUGGAAAGUUUUUUCGGUGUAGGAUGAGCUCGCGGCCUAUCAGCUUGUUGGUGGGGUAAUGGCCUACCAAGGCGGCGACGGGUAGCCGGCCUGAGAGGGUGGACGGCCACAUUGGGACUGAGAUACGGCCCAGACUCCUACGGGAGGCAGCAGUGGGGAAUAUUGCACAAGGGGCGCAGGCCUGAUGCAGCGACGCCGCGUGGGGGAUGACGGCCUUCGGGUUGUAAACUCCUUUCGCUAGGGACGAAGCUUUUUGUGACGGUACCUAGAUAAGAAGCACCGGCUAACUACGUG
rnacentral:rRNA from 1 species